rnacentral:rRNA from 1 species
UGGGGAAUUUUGGACAAUGGGCGAAAGCCUGAUCCAGCAAUGCCGCGUGUGUGAAGAAGGCCUUCGGGUUGUAAAGCACUUUUGUCCGUAAAGAAAUGGCUCUGGUUAAUACCUGGGGUCGAUGACGGUACCGGAAGAAUAAGGACCGGCUAACUACGUGCCAGCAGCCGCGGUAAUACGUAGGGUCCAAGCGUUAAUCGGAAUUACUGGGCGUAAAGCGUGCGCAGGCGGUUGUGCAAGACCGAUGUGAAAUCCCCGAGCUUAACUUGGGAAUUGCAUUGGUGACUGCACGGCUAGAGUGUGUCAGAGGGGGGUAGAAUUCCACGUGUAGCAGUGAAAUGCGUAGAGAUGUGGAGGAAUACCGAUGGCGAAGGCAGCCCCCUGGGAUAACACUGACGCUCAUGCACGAAAGCGUGGGGAGCAAACAGG